rnacentral:lncRNA from 1 species
UGCGAGAAAAGGAAAAGGAAGAGAUGUGUGGAUGAGUUGAUAGAAUCACAGGGAGAAGCUAUAGAUAAAUUUGGCAAGAGUUAUCAAGGCCCUGCGAGGAAUACGGGCGCUUCGACGAACCCAAAUGAGUUGGCAAUAGUUGUUGCGGAUGAACCAAGAAAAUGUUAACACCAACGUCGAUGAUAACAAUGUAAGUGACUCUAAGAACAUAGUAAAUGCAUCAGGUGCACAUUAUGCAUCAUGAGAGGGUAAAUGGUUUUGGCAACAUUAUGCAUCGAGAAGAACUUGUUGGAUGAGAUUGACAUCAUCCUUAUCAUAAGUGAUUUUGCAUCGAGAAAUGUUAAAAGAAAUUUUUAAGGUAAUAUGUA